GAAAAAUGAAAAAUGAGAAAACAAUCCAUAUACAUCAUCAUCUACAGUGCUAAAGGAAGUGAAAAUGGUGAAGCUGCUGAUAUGCAUCACAUAUGAAAAUAGACUAUUCAGACAAUCAUCAGAAACACCAGGCAUACCUUUAUUUCUUCUGGGCUUUUGUUAACUUCCACUGCAAUCCUCUCUAUCCAAUUCUCAGCAAUUAGCAUACCCUGUGGGCCUCCAAAUCCUCUAAAAGCUGUAUUACUAGGAAAAUUAGUGAAACAUGCUUUUCCAUUAACCCUCACAUUUGGUAUUUCAUAGACAUUGUGUGAAUGGAACAUAGAACGUUCAAGUACAGCGGCUGAUAGGUCCAACGAAUUUCCAGCAUUAUUGUAGAUAUGAAGAUCCAAGGCAAGCACUUUCCCGGCAUUUGUAAAACCAACCUAACAAUAAUAGAGAAUGUUAACAUUGUUUCUCCAUAUUCAAAAGAAAAUGCUAAUAGAAAUCAGAACAGAAAAUGACGCAAACCAAUGCCUACCAAACACAUUAGUAAAACGAAUAAAACCAAAUGUUUCCCUUCCUAUCAUCCCUCCGCUUGAGGAGGCUUAUAUAGUCCAAUAAUCUAUAUCUGCUAAGUAUUAUACUGAUUGGUUCAUGUAACAAAAAACAGCACAACAGGCUGGGAAAGAACUUGUCGAGUUCGUAGCCUCGACUCUUCUCCAGUUGUUAUUACUCCACUACAAAAUCCAAUGCAAAUAAUGCCUAAAGAGUUUAUCUGUCUAUGCAGCCUAACAAUUCAAUGUGUUCAGUAAAUCAGAAAGUGUACAUAUCUGUUCAUCACAAUAUUUAUGAAACAUCUACCAUUUCGACAAUCCCAAAACAUUUGGCACACUCAAAUAACAAAAUCUGUUCACAGAUACUAGUUGCACUAAUUCAAAUUUAAACUACAAUAUCAUGUGUUUCCCACAAAUGCUUGAGCAAUAAACACCGCAGAAGUGAGUGAGUUAAACAAGCUUUCCCAUGCCAUCCAAAUGUUGCAUAGAUUGAGUUUAGCUGUGUAACGUGCUUUUGUUAACUUCCACUGCAAUCCUCUCUAUCCAAUUCUCAGCAAUUAGCAUACCCUGUGGGCCUCCAAAUCCUCUAAAAGCUGUAUUACUAGGAAAAUUAGUGAAACAUGCUUUUCCAUUAACCCUCACAUUUGGUAUUUCAUAGACAUUGUGUGAAUGGAACAUAGAACGUUCAAGUACAGCGGCUGAUAGGUCCAACGAAUUUCCAGCAUUAUUGUAGAUAUGAAGAUCCAAGGCAAGCACUUUCCCGGCAUUUGUAAAACCAACCUAACAAUAAUAGAGAAUGUUAACAUUGUUUCUCCAUAUUCAAAAGAAAAUGCUAAUAGAAAUCAGAACAGAAAAUGACGCAAACCAAUGCCUACCAAACACAUUAGUAAAACGAAUAAAACCAAAUGUUUCCCUUCCUAUCAUCCCUCCGCUUGAGGAGGCUUAUAUAGUCC
rnacentral:lncRNA from 1 species